rnacentral:rRNA from 1 species
GGGGGGGCAAGCGUUGUUCGGAAUUACUGGGCGUAAAGGGCGCGCAGGCGGGCGGGAAAGUCUCUCGUGAAAGCCCACGGCUCAACCGUGGAAUUGCGGGAGAUACUACUUGUCUUGAGUCCGGGAGAGGAGUGUGGAAUUCCCAGUGUAGCGGUGAAAUGCGUAGAUAUUGGGAGGAACACCGGUGGCGAAGGCGGCACUCUGGACCGGUACUGACGCUGAGGCGCGAAAGCUAGGGGAGCAAACGGGAUUAGAUACCCCGGGUAGUCCUGGCUGUAAACGCUGAGCACUUGGUGUAGCGGGUAUCGACCCCCCCUGCUGUGCCGAAGCUAACGCAUUAAGUGCUCCGCCUGGGGGAGUACGGUCGCAAGGCUG